rnacentral:rRNA from 1 species
GACGAACGCUGGCGGCGUGCCUAAUACAUGCAAGUUGAGCGAUGAAGAUUGGUGCUUGCACCAAUUUGAAGAGCAGCGAACGGGUGAGUAACGCGUGGGGAAUCUGCCUUUGAGCGGGGGACAACAUUUGGAAACGAAUGCUAAUACCGCAUAACAACUUUAAACAUAAGUUUUAAGUUUGAAAGAUGCAAUUGCAUCACUCAAAGAUGAUCCCGCGUUGUAUUAGCUAGUUGGUGAGGUAAAGGCUCACCAAGGCGAUGAUACAUAGCCGACCUGAGAGGGUGAUCGGCCACAUUGGGACUGAGACACGGCCCAAACUCCUACGGGAGGCAGCAGGAGGGAAUCUUCGGCAAUGGACGAAAGUCUGACCGAGCAACGCCGCGUGAGUGAAGAAGGUUUUCGGAUCGGAAAACUCUGUUGGUAGAGAAGAACGUUGGUGAGAGUGGAAAGCUCAUCAAGUGACGGUAACUACCCAGAAAGGGACGGCUAACUACGUG